rfam:Mus musculus chromosome 13, GRC primary reference assembly.
CCAAAGGCUCUUUUAAGAGCCACUUACAUACUUCUUAAAAUGGCC